rnacentral:lncRNA from 1 species
GAUAACAUCAUCUUCCUCCUUGGUCCAUACUAUCCAUUUGAGAAAGAAAAAGAGAAAGGAAAACACCAUAGUUGAAGACUAAAGAUUCAGCCAAGCUAAAAUCCCAAGGUAACCAAGCCCUUUUUCAUGUAAUUUUUAUAGAUUUAAGAUUAUGGGAGCUUGAUUUAGCUAGUCCAUGUAUCAAUUUAUUCAAUUGUUAAAGUUCUUAUAAGUUUCCAUUUGUGAGAAUCGGAUGAAAUAGGUGUGAAAUUGAUAUAAAUUAAGCUUAGUUUAUGGAAAGGAUUAAAUUGUAAAGCUUAAUUGUUUGUUUCGUACAUUAGGGCUAAAUUGAAUAAAAUGAAAAACUAUUAUGAAAUUUUGAUAGAAAUAGAAAGUAAAAGCUCUAGAUUGAAAGUUAUGUUUGUCUCGAGUUUAGGGACUAAUUUGAAUAAAUUAAAAAAUAUGUUUAACUUUGUAUUGGAAUGUGAUUUGGAUGGAAUUUGAUAUUGUGUUAUUUUUGAAUAAUUAUAAAUAGCUAAGACAAUGUUGGUCCGUCGAGAGGGAAAGGAAAAGCAAGAGUCGAUGACGAGUGGCACGAGCUUUCAGUUUGUAUUUCUAUAAUUUAGGAUCAAUUUGAAUUGUUGCAUAUUUGUGAUAUUUUGCACAAUAUAAUAUUGAGGUGAGUUGAUAAUGAUUAUUUGAAUGAAAUUUCCAUGUUUGAGAUUGAAUAUCGAGGUAGUGGACUAAUUAAAUAAAAUAGAUAAUUGUAUGAAUUAAUGCAUAUAUAAUAUUUGGUGUGGAAUUAAGUUGAAAUAUGCUAUGUUAUAUGAUGAAUUGAUGAUGAAUUGAGAAUAAUGUAAUGUGAAUUAAAUUAUAUGUUGAAAUUGGAAAAUUGAUUACCCUAUUAACUAUUCAGUUAGAGUCGGAUAUAGUUGGCAUAUAAUGGGAUAGAUUUAAUAUGAGUUACUUCAACUAUAUGUCGAUGAGUGUUCGACGCAUUUUCCUUCAGAUGUUCUGAUGAUUACUGGGCACAACCUUUACUUUGGUUAUGUCGAUAAGCGUUGUAUGCAAUCUAUUUACUUCAGACAUUUGUGUUGGUUGGGAUCUGUGUAUACGUUGGAGUCCGAGUCAUGUUAAUGGGGGAUAUAAAUUGUGAAUUGGUUAAAUGAUACUCGAAAUGAUUCCAUGUUAUGAAAUUGUACUACAAGUACAUAUAUACAAUAUAUGAUUAUAAAUAGCAUGUGAAAGACCAUGCAAACUGGUUAAAUGAGCCUGAGGCUGAUUUGGAAAGUUAGCAAAUGAAUUGAUUUGAUUCAGAAUAUGUUAUAUUGUAAGGAAAUAUAAACACUAAUGACAUUGGUAUGAUAUGUCCAUAUAGUUUCUUAAUUAACGUAAUGUAUCCAUUUGACAUAGUUGGUACACUUUAUGGCAUAUAUAUGUUGAUAUGUGGUUGAGGAUUAGCAUGAAUUGUAUAUGAAUUUAUUGAUAUUAGAAUUUUUGAUUGAAUGUGUGCAAUUGAUUAAAUUCGUAUUAUAUUGACUUGAAUCAUGGAAAUAACACUGAGAAUUAUCACUCAGUGUAUGUUUGUUUUUCCUUACGCAUGUUUAGGUUCAUCUCGAGGUCUCAAGAAGUGAUUUUAACAUCUAAGAGGCAAUCCCUAACUCAACAAUGUUUGUAUAGUCUCUUUUUAUUCGUUAUAUAGCAUGUACCUAGGUCGAGUCGAUUUUUGCAUAUUAUAUGAUUAUGUCAUAUUGUAACUUAGAUUAGUGAAUUAGAAAAGGCUAUUAUAUGAUUAUGUCUUAUUGUAACUUAGAUUAGUGAAUUAGAAAAGGUCAAAUGGUUGGAUUGUGUGGAUGAAUUUGACAAUUAAAUACUUUAUAUGAUAAUAUGAACUAUUGUGAUCAUACUCAAAUGUAUAUGUCCAUUUGAUAAUUUUUUGAAGUUGCAUAAGUGUCAAACAUGGUAUGUAUAAAUAUGAAUUACAAAUGAAUAUGUGAAUGAUGAAAUAUGUUAGAAAUGUAUAUUAGAUGUAAUAGCCCAAAUUUGACCGGGCUUUAAAAGGGCAAAAUAAAAUAAUAAAUGAAUAAAUAUUUAUUUUAAAAGUCCAUUAAAAAAGUCUGUGUACAAAGCCCAAAAACACUUAACCCCAUAGUCUGUGUACAAAGCCCGAACAGUUGCG